CAGUAGCCGCGGUAAAACGGAGGGUGCAAGCGUUAAUCGGAAUUACUGGGCGUAAAGCGUGCGCAGGCGGUUAUAUAAGACAGAUGUGAAAUCCCCGGGCUCAACCUGGGAACUGCAUUUGUGACUGUAUAGCUAGAGUACGGCAGAGGGGGAUGGAAUUCCGCGUGUAGCAGUGAAAUGCGUAGAUAUGCGGAGGAACACCGAUGGCGAAGGCAAUCCCCUGGGCCUGUACUGACGCUCAUGCACGAAAGCGUGGGGAGCAAACAGGAUUAGAUACCCGAGUAGUCCCUGUCUCUUAUAC
rnacentral:rRNA from 1 species